GACGAACGCUGGCGGCGUGCUUAACACAUGCAAGUCGAACGAUGAAGCCGGAGCUUGCUCUGGUGAAUUAGUGGCGAACGGGUGAGUAACACGUGAGUAACCUGCCCUUGACUCUGGGAUAACUGCGGGAAACUGUAGCUAAUACCGGAUACGACCCUCGGAGGCAUCUCCUGGGGGUGGAAAGAAUUUCGGUCAAGGAUGGACUCGCGGCCUAUCGGCUAGUUGGUGAGGUAAAGGCUCACCAAGGCGACGACGGGUAGCCGGCCUGAGAGGGUGACCGGCCACACUGGGACUGAGACACGGCCCAGACUCCUACGGGAGGCAGCAGUGGGGAAUAUUGCACAAUGGGCGCAAGCCUGAUGCAGCAACGCCGCGUGAGGGAUGACGGCCUUCGGGUCGUAAACCUCUUUUAGCAGGGAAGAAGCGAAAGUGACGGUACCUGCAGAAAAAGCACCGGCUAACUACGUGCCAGCAGCCGCCGUAA
rnacentral:rRNA from 1 species